AACGCACAUUGCGCCCACUGGUAUUCCGGUGGGCAUGCCUGUUCGAGCGUCAUUAUCCUCUCUCUCAUCCCCCGUGAUGUGAUGUUGGGCUACAAACUCGCAAGAGAUUGGGCCUCAAAAAUAAUGACGGUGUUCAUAGGACCCUCUGAUACAACGAGCUUUCGGGCACGUAUCAGGUACGGGACACUAUACAUUGGUCUUAACCCCAUUUUAUCAAGGUUGACCUCGGAUCAGGUAGGAAUACCCGCUGAACUUAA
rnacentral:misc_RNA from 1 species